rnacentral:lncRNA from 1 species
AGACGGUUUUAAGCCUCAAACGAGACACUAUCGGUCUGCCCUUGUUAUGUCACAGACAAGAGGUCAGAAGAACUGCUUGCCACACUUCUGUACAAACUGUAAACCACAUCUACUAGCUCAGGACAAUACUUCUCCUUUGUUGUUUAACCAGUUUCCCCAUAACUAGAUAUCACUUAAGCUGAAAUUGUUUUACAUAUUGGUCUCAGGACAACGGUUGAAAAAUUAAAAUUAAAAACUAUUUCUUUAGUGGCAAUACAUUUUUUCCGAUUCAGGAAGCAACAUUAGAAAUAGGUGCCACCCGGAAUUGCAAUAGCAAACUGCAAAUCUACCUGCUUACAUCUCUGGCUUUGCAUCCUGGGCCCUUCUCCCCUCUCCUUACUCCCCCAGCUUUCUCUCCAUCUUCCUAAUGCAAGGGACGCUGGUAGCACCCACCUAACCCAAGGCUAAAACAGUAACUAGGUGAACACCUGAUUUCGGUCAAUUCAUCCGGUAAUCGCGGGAAACAGGAGACAACUGGGCAAACCAGAGCCAGCAGGGAAUGGGGCUGCCUGAGGCUGGGGCAAGGAGCCACGGGGACCUCCGGAGGCAGCAGGUAGGGGCGGGUGCGGAGGGAGCGGAUUCUUCUCCUCUCCUUUCUGCACGGACGGACGCCGCAGAGGCCAGGCCUGGGUCGCGAUCCGGGCCCUUGGCGCGGCCUCCCGCGGAUCACCGGGUCUGAGGCGCGGUACAAAGGGGAGCCCGGAUCGGGAGGGGACUGCCUCGCUUCGGCUUGCGUUCCCUCCCGCAGGGCCGCGGUGUCAGGAGAGACAGAUGGUCAAAGGCUUUCCCAGAGGAAAACGACCAAAGAUGUUUGUGCUCAUACCCACACAUAGACCCCCGUCAGUCGACCACCUGUGUCCAGCCAGCGAGACGUCCACCCCAGAAAGGAGUCACCUGGGUUCGAAAAAUCCUAGAAAUGAAGUGUGGCGGUAUGUUCACCUACUGGAAUACUAUCCUGGAAUGAGAAUGAGUGACUCGGAGGUACAGAUACCAACAUUGGAACAAAGGGACCACAGGACUUUUCUAAAGUUACAGCUGUCUCCUUUGGUCCUCCGAACAAUGGAUCCCAUCAGCACCACCUGGACCACCCUGGAAGUUCUGAUGCAGGAGGCCCAGGAGGAGCCAGGGAAUCUGCAUUUCUAA